CAGAAUGUCGCGGUGAAUACGUUCCCGGGUCUUGUACACACCGCCCGUCACACCAUGGGAGUUGGAAAUGCCCGAAGUCAGUGACCUAACCCGUAAGGGAGGGAGCUGCCGAAGGCAGGUCUGAUAACUGGGGUGAAGUCGUAACAAGGUAGC
rnacentral:rRNA from 1 species